CGCGGCGGCCGCAGCGCCCUGCCCCCUCACGGAGUCUCCAGCUGACGUUUCAAGGUAAACCAAGCGGGUAACAGCAAGUGGCAAUGCCAAGAAGACUAAAAAUUAGAGAGGAUACUCUCUGCUUUAUGGAUCUUGGAGAUAUCUCCGUUACACAAUGUUACACAACAUUGACCCACCAAAUACUGCAGAAUGGGAAGUAAGCCAUCUCUGAUCUGUUUCCCUCUGGAAAGUUUUGAAACUGCUCAGCAAUUUAGUCAAGUCUGCAGAGCCUCAGAGAUACUAAAUACCUCCAGUUUUUGUGGAAAUAGCCGCUCAGGUAAAGAGAAACCCUGGAGUAGGAUAAAGGGAUAACAAUGGAAUCCUGGCUGUGUUAAUUCUGCUGCUCACGGAACUGCUUGUUAAAAUAGGUUACAACAAGGUUGCUCCCACCCAUUUAAGAACAGAAAACCUCAGAUGUGCUUGUGGAAGGGUUGCUUGCACUUAGCAGCACUACUGGAAAUAGAAUGGUUAGAUAAAUGAUACAGAACUUUAUAAAGAUGAGAACCAUUAUUGAUGAAAAACUAAAAGCUGUGACAACUAUUUUGUCUCUGAAGCAAACCCGUUACUCCAGAAUGUCAUGGGUUUCGCAAAGAAGUUGGGAUCUUCAAGGUUAAUAGUCAAUGCAUGCACACUGUAAAGCAACAAAGUAGCAUGUACGCUUGAGGGAUCCUUUCAGGGAACAAAGGAUUCUCCCAGGUUGCUUCUUGAGAUGUUCCCACCUGCAUGCACAGACUCUGACUACGCUGUCUGCUGAGGGUGGCCCUGAGGUGCUUCUCCAGACUAGACUCACCUGUCUACCCAAGUGUGAAUCUGCUCAUGUGUGCCUGGUAUGUCAAUGUCCCUGUGGAAGUAACUGUGGCAGUAAUUUGUGCACCAUCCUUUCAAGCAGUAUGCAGGAUGAAAGAGACAGACUGAGCAUACCCCUCACUAGAUUGCUGUUGAGGUGUUUGUCUCCGCUGAUUUAGCCAGCACGCUUCUGCUCAUACCACUCACUCCAUCCAAAACCAGAUUUUAUUACUCUGUCCCAGGAUUAGGCUAGGGAUGAGGAGGCUCCAGUAGGAUACCCCUAAGAAUCUGUGCCAAGGCUACCCUUAAUUUAAGAUCUUAGUUAAAUAUCUGGCAGAGAAGAUACAGAGCGCAUUAGUGGCAUUUACAGAGUAUUAAGCUGGGAGAGAUUGAAAGCUGUAUUCAGGGUAGAAACAUAAACUACCUGAAAAUGAUAAACAUGAGCAGAAAUUAAUGGAAGCUCAGUUGGGAAGACUGUGAGUCCUUAUCUGAGGUGAUUUAAGUUCCUUGAACCCAUCUAUUAAAAUGAAGAAAUCUGAAAGUAAUAAUGCCAGGAGUCAAAGAAUAAAGGCAAAAAUGAAGUAGACAUCAAAUACUGCUGUAUGAAGAAGGCUGCAGAAAGGCUAGUGCAGUUGAGGAUUCAAAUUUUCAUUUCACCCUCAAAAAGAACUUUUCCUGCUGUAGAAGUAUGAGUCUGGCCACCAUUCCUGCCACCUUGUCUGCUGGUCUCCCCAGCUGUACCACCUAAAAUAGUGGAGACUGAAAUUCCAUGUAACAGGUCUCUGUCCAAUUGGUCACAUUCUCCUCUUUGCAAAGCAUGAGUUUAUUUCUUCAGACAAAACGUUUCCUUCAAUUAAUUCACUUUUAAGAUGAGAAAACAAGAGGCAGAAAGGUUAUGUGACUCGCAGUGCCUGUCAGUGGCAGCGCUCACCUUAGUACUCGAAAUAACACAGUGAUGCCACAACAUCAAUCAUACUGACUUGCCAGUGAUAUGGAGGCAGGAUUUGUUGAUACCAUGAAUUUUAGUGUUUGGCAUUAUUGGAUUUAUAAUGGUAAAAG